rnacentral:misc_RNA from 1 species
GGAAGGAUCAUUACCAAAUCCAAAUACCCAACCCCAUGUGAACUAUUGUUUGUUGUCCUUGGGGGGGAAACAAUUUCAGACUGAAGUCUUAGGAUAGAUGUUUGAUUUGCUACUCCCCCAAAAGAAUCCGGCACUCCGGUGCUUGUGAUUCUUGUUAAACUACAUAAUAUUUUUGUUUCGGAAUGACUUUUAUUAAUACUAAUAAAAGACAACUUUUAACGGUGGAUCUCUUGGCUCGUGGAUCGAUGAAGAACGCAGCAAACUGCGAUACGUAGUGUGAAUUGCAGAAUUCAGUGAAUCAUCGAAUCUUUGAACGCAAAUUGCGCUGUCGGGUAUUCCUGACAGCAUACUUGGCUGAGUAUCAUCUGGAUAUAUCACAGAAUCUUUUUUUUGUGGAUAUGAGGUGUCACAUUGGCAACAAUGCGUCCCUUUAAAUAUAGGAAGGUGAAAGGAAUAUCAGCGUCCUUGAUACCGCUAGUGUGGCAAUUGUCCUUCGGGCAUCAAAAGCACUAUGUCGGGACUUGGGCAUUAAGUUGAUAAACUUUUCAAUUAUACCUUUUUUUUUAAAUCUUUUGAAAUUUUGAUCUCAGCUCAAGUAAGACUACCCGCUGAAUUUAAGCAUAUUAAUAAGCGGAGGAAAAGAAACUAACAAGGAUUCCCUUAGUAACGGCGAGUGAAGCGGGAAGAGCUCAAAUUUUAAAGCUCCGUAGUUCCUACGGCGCGUUGUAAUCUAAAGAAGUGUUUUCUCGUGCGGCCCCGGUACAAGUCCGUUGGAACGCGGCAUCAUGGAGGGUGAGAAUCCCGUUCGUGACUGGGUGACCGUGCGUUUACGAUACGCUCUCUAAGAGUCGGGUUGUUUGGGAAUGCAGCCCAAAUGGGUGGUAAAUUUCAUCUAAAGCUAAAUAUUGCCACGAGACCGAUAGCGAACAAGUACCGUGAGGGAAAGAUGAAAAGAACUUUGAAAAGAGAGUUAAAAGUACGUGAAACCGUUAAAAGGGAAGCAAAUGGCACUAGCAUUUGUACCUGUCAUAAUCAAUCAGUCGUCUUGAAGCCGUUCAGUAUAGAGAGUGUUAAAGCCUCUUGCUGUUCGUUCGGAGAGUUUGGCUGGUGCACUUGUGGCUUGUACAGGUCAACAUCAGUUCGAACUGUGACAUAAACGCAGUGGGAAGGUGGCUUGCAGCUUCGGUUGUAGGUGUUAUAGCCCAUUGUGAACGUUACGGAUUGGACUGAGGAGUCGCAGGUCGUGCCCUCGGGCUAGUUCCCUGGCCUCUGGUGUAGCAACUCUGUCGUACUUAUGAAUAGUAAGUGCGCUGGAGUCACGCAGCGCCACCGGUUAGGUGUAUCAUAAACGACCUUCGGAUGUUGGCGAAAUGGUGUUAUCUGACCCGUCUUGAAACACGGACCAAGGAGUCUAACAUAUAUGCGAGUCUUUGGGUGGCAAACCCGCAGGCGCAAUGAAAGUGAAGGCAUGCUCGGUGUGCUGAGGUGAGAUCCGCAAGGAGCAUCAUCGACCGAUCUGGAUGGUUUCCUGAAAGAUUUGAGUAAGAGCAUAUCUGUUGGGACCCGAAAGAUGGUGAACUAUGCCUGAAUAGGGUGAAGUCUGAGGAAACUCAGAUGGAAGCUCGUAGCGAUUCUGACGUGCAAAUCGAUCGUCAAAUUUGGGUAUAGGGGCGAAAGACUAAUCGAACCAUCUAGUAGCUGGUUCCCUC